AGCAGUGGGGAAUAUUGGACAAUGGGCGAAAGCCUGAUCCAGCAAUGCCGCGUGAGUGAUGAAGGCCUUAGGGUUGUAAAGCUCUUUUACCCGGGAUGAUAAUGACAGUACCGGGAGAAUAAGCUCCGGCUAACUCCGUGCCAGCAGCCGCGGUAAUACGGAGGGAGCUAGCGUUAUUCGGAAUUACUGGGCGUAAAGCGCACGUAGGCGGCUUUGUAAGUAAGAGGUGAAAGCCCAGAGCUCAACUCUGGAAUUGCCUUUUAGACUACAUCGCUUGAAUCAUGGAGAGGUCAGUGGAAUUCCGAGUGUAGAGGUGAAAUUCGUAGAUAUUCGGAAGAACACCAGUGGCGAAGGCGGCUGACUGGACAUGUAUUGACGCUGAGG
rnacentral:rRNA from 1 species